rnacentral:rRNA from 1 species
UAAGCGGGUAGUGAAAUCUUGUGGCUCAACCACAAGGCUAGUUACCUGAACUGACAAGCUUGAGUAUGGUAGAGGUCACUGGAAUUCCAAGUGUAGGAGUGAAAUCCGUAGAUAUUUGGAGGAACACCGAUGGCGUAGGCAGGUGACUGGACCAUAACUGACACUAAGGCACGAAAGCGUGGGUAGCAAACGGGAUUAGAUACCCCGGUAGUCCACGCCUAAACGAUGGAUGCUA